GCCUAAAUGACAGUUAAAGAAAGCUGACUGAAAACAUGAUUGUAACAUCUCAAAUGACCAUCAGGCAAGGAGGAGAGCCUUUGAAUAGAAGCAUCUGAUUCAUUGUGGAAAGAGUUUCCAUGGCUUUCUUACCAUCAUGCAGGCUCUUCUGAAACUUUUGAUCUUCCUUGUGCUCUUAACAAAAGGAGCCUCCCUGGUGUGUGAUAGAUGUUACAGCAAGACAAUGAAGUGUGACACCAUCAGAAGAAGAUGUCCUUCUUCUAAAGACGAAUGCUAUGUGAAAUUUUCUGAGCAAAUUCUAGAAGGAAAAGUCGAACAGUUUCUCGAGAAAGGCUGCGAACGUUCCCCAUUCUGUCCCUAUGACCAAAUUCAGCUUUAUUUGGGGAAAGGAAGAUACUACAAGUCAGGUUUACUCUGUUGCCAUGACAGGACUUGCCAAAAAAAUGUUC